CCUAUACUUGGGCCAUGGUGACAAGGUGCACCUACAUGAAUUAACAAUGUCCUAUACUUGGGCCAUGGUGACAAGGUGCACCUAUAUGAAUUAAUGUCUUAUAUGGUGUCCAUCACUGGUGGGAUGACCCAGGACUGCUCUGCUGUCUUGGUCUACUGCAAGAUCCUUUAUGGUGCUAUGACAGCAGUGGCAUUAGUCAGACAUGCCCCUGCAUCAAUUUUAAAAGCUCCCCAAAUCUAGGAUCAUGGAGAGAAGAGGAAGGGAAAGCUGCCUCUUCCUCCAAGUCUGCAAAUUUUGACAUCAUUUUUAGAAGGCUCAACAAGUUUGGUUUUUUGCAGACUUUUUGGCUUCUUUGAUGUUCAGAUAGGCUAAGCUGAAAGACACCGCCGGCCUUUUGUACAAACUAAAUUUAGUUACAGAAUGGGAAGGGAGGUUGGACCACCAACUGGGAAAAAGUAAACCUAACCGGGAAUGGGAAGGGAGCUAGCUGGGGAAGAGAUGCCGAGAUCAGUCAAGCAGCAGCAGUUGUCUGUGGACUAUAAUAAGUGAAGGGGUGUCAACUUGAAUCCGAGUAUGUUGAGAGAAGUCUAUAAGCAGGACCUGAAAGCAAGCACAAGCCCAAUUAACCCCAAGCAGGCCAAGAAUGAAAAAAAAUCUGACACUUAGUGAGACGGGUGGGGUCUAUUUGUAGUACAUACAUUAGCUGAACCAACAUAUGCUUGUCAGAUGGUGGGGUGGAACACAUAGCUACACUAAGAUGUCAAUUAAGAGACCCAGUCCAGCAAGGGUCUAAUGAACAUGGAAAACCAUUAGUGCGAGCGUCUUUUUAUGGCAGAUUCCAGCUCAUAACCAACUUCCUGCAGGACUGGCAUUAGUGUGACUGGCAAAGUAGAACACAAUAUGAGCGCAGCUAUCGAUUGUUCUCGUGGGGAAAAGUGAGGACUUAAUUGAAAGCAGGCUCUCACACACAAUUCUCUUGAACAUGAGACUCAAUCACUUAUAUUUAGGUAGGGAGACUACCCUAGACUUUGCUUUUGGUUUCACUAUUGCUUUUUUAAUUUAUCAAUGUUUUAAGCUAACAGCCGCAGCAUAGGUGUCUCUUCUAAGCUUUAUUUUCCUUAUGUCGAUUUGCAUGCAGGGUGGGCAGGCUGGUUCAGGGACCCUUUUCAGCCAUAACUCUGGCCACAAACUCACAAAGAUAAUGCACAGCGCAGGUAUACAGGGCACAGUUUGAACAAGCAGUCAUGGGAGAUUUACAAAAAUGAGUAAAACAGAAGCGGAAAGUGCAUCUAACUACAAAGCAAGACUAAGAAAAUUUCAAAAGACAACUUACAAAGUUGCAAGAAAGGACAAUGAAAAAGAGAAAGCAAAGUCACCAAAUAUUACAGAAACAGUUUUAUAAAUGGUGGGCGUCAAGGAAGGACCCCAAAUGAGCUAAAGACUUUUUUCCUGCAGGAAGAAUCUGCAACAGGUUUACCUGAAUGUGAAGACUUGAUGGAAGGAAUGGCCGAAGGUCUGCAUAAGACUUCAAGGAAACACAAGAAAAACUUGAACUGAACAGUGGAUGUUUGUAAAUUGACUAAUAUCAAACAAGAGUUUAAUAACAUAUAUAAUUUUUAUACAUACAAGAGGGAGGGGGGCAUUAAAUAAAAGGGACAGUUCUAAAGAUUUUAGCUCAGAAAAUGUCAAGUCCCUCUAUGGUUGCAGAAUUUCCACGAAAUGUGCACUGCAAAAUUUAUUUUAAUUAAAUCUGGAAUAAAACUAUAAUAUUUCAAUGUACAUGGCUAUUCGACCCAUGUUCAUUAUCCUACAAGGCCUUCUUUGUCUGGAAUUUAAUGGACAUCAGUGACAUCCCUUCAUAGUUUAAGCUAUAACAGGACUGGAUUCUGAUGCACAAGAAUAAAUUACAUGGGAAACAUCAAAUUCCUGAAGUAGAAAUGAGAACUUUAACAUCACACACUACAAGGCCAUGGUUUCAAUUACAUUAACAUAUUGUCUGGUCCACUACAGAACUGAAAUGCACUACAUCAGAAGCAAGUCAGAGGCUUAUUGAUGGCAUUUAUUACAAGAAUUGUUAGAACAAUCAAGCCUGGACAUACUCCCAGGCAAAAAAAAAAAAAAAAUCAGCAUUUGAAUGCUAACCUGUUGCAGUUUUAUACUUCUGGGUCUACUUGAGAUAACCAAAAUCUCAGAAGACCGAAAUUCAUAACACCAAGACCAGAAACCAGAAGUUUCACAUGAGCGAAAGUUCACUAUACUGAUGUUUAGAAGACUGAAUGUGUAAAAGUCCGACAGUCCAAGCUGAGUGGAACAGGAAAUCCGCUCAUGUCCACACUGUAGUGCAAUCUCGAGUUGGUAUCUAAUUGGCAAGGGGAUGGGGGGGGGGGCACAGCCCCCCUGCAAAAUUGUUAAAGUUGAAAUUACAAAGUUAUUUUUGUUUAAGUAUUUGGUAUGAAUAUUCAUGUCGGUGUUAUAGAGUCAGUCAUGAAUAUUCAGUGGAAUUUUUGUGUGUUUGGGUUUAUUGGUUGGUGGGCAGGGUCUGGGAAAGGUCAAGUACAUAGUUUGGGUUGUACUGUGUGCGCGCUCUUCAAAUGGUGUUAGUUUCUGCUGCAGUUAUUUCACUGAAUGGGGGUAAGUCGGGAUUUUGUUCUGUUGGUGUUAUGUCUGUCGGGUUUAUGAGGUUUCGGGUUUGUGGAUUUCGCUGCUGUGGUCUUGGUGUUAUGAAUUUCAGUCUACUGAGUUUCGGUUAUCUCAUGUACCCAAGUAUUUCACAGCUAUUCUACAUGAUUAAGACUUUGGCAGUUGUCCAUAUCAUUGGUGCAGCAUCAAAACUGUCCCCAGUGUUUCUACAUACCUUCCACAGUUUUCCACCAAAUGAAAUGGAAUAGCACUGAAGAGUAUUAGUGAUGAUUCAGACAAGAGGAGGGAACAACCUAUUUCCUGAAUGUUAAUAGCAACAAGAAAAAAAGCUUAAGAAAUGCUUCUACACAGCUGUUGCAUUAAGGCAUUCCCUUCCAUUAAGAGCUACAAAGACUAUGCAAGUGCAUUUUGUACAAUUUUUAACACAUUUCUUAAAAACUGUAGUGAUAAAUGGAAACCCCCUCUCAAUAUAUGUAUAAAGAACAGAGCAGUCUUCAUGGCUUACUGGCUUUCCAAAGGGGGGGGGGUAACACAAAGCAACAAAGUAAUCUAUUGUUUCAAGUUUUUUUUUUCCUGUCUGAUUAAAACUUGGUCUAAAACAGUGUACAAUAGUUCCAGAGCCUCUAUUUGACAGGAAAGGAUCAGUGACACCUCAGUAGGAAUCUGGACCCAAUGUGAUGAAUGUAGCACCAUGGAAAACAAUGAAGUGGAAAAACAGUGCUUGCUUUCUCCCAAUAACACCUGUACAGAUGUCAAAAAAUAUCCAACACUACACUGCUGAGGCUGUGAGUCACAUAAGUGGAACAUGAUAGCCAGAACAAUGCAGUCGAAGGUUCACUGUAACCAUGUGAAAAAAAUUAGCCAGUCACUGAAACAAUUUACAAAUUUUUUUUUUUUUUUUUUUUAUGUAUACAUCCCUUACACCCACUGUAGAUGACCUAAAUCCCACUGUAAGCUCCUCUAGUGCAUCUGUAUGGGAACUCCUCUCACUCCAAUAGUCUCAUAUACCCAGCAGCAUACCUCUCAAAUGUCCAUUUUUUUGCCUCAUAUUUUUGGUCUGUUCCUCAUAAAAUCUGUGGGUUUCUGGAUUUUUGUGGCAAAUCAGUGAGGACUUACUUCACUACAAACUGGCAGGUAUUUGAGUUUCAGUCUUCAUAUCCUUCAGAAAAUGGCAACACGAGACUAACUGGAGCAACUUUCUAAGUUUGAGAGCAAUAUU